UGUUUUCUUAUGUAAAUUAAAUGGAUCUAGUGCAGGUUUGUCCAUAUGAUGCUAUUGAUGCUCCAGUGUUUGAAAAUAUGUAUGCAUCUGCAGACUCUAAUUCUGCUAACAGGUUGUAGUCUGCUCCUAUUCACAUAUCCUAGCAUUGUUUGAAGACAUUAAUGUUCUGCCUAGGGGUGGAUCCAGCAUUUUUAAUUUGGUGGGGCACUGUUUUUAAAGUUCAGUCAGGAACACCAUGUUUCUUCACUAAAAGUGUUAUUGGAGUAUUCGAUAUACCCUUGGCUUUUCCUGCAAUUUCCUGAGUUGCUGAGUUGAUUGCUUGAGAAACACGGGCUUCGUCUGUCUGCAAGAUUUUACCCAUGACUCAAGGGAUAGUUGUGGGUUCGGUUCCGAAUGGUCCUGCAAUCAUCCUCAAUGCAUUCUUAAGGAUCUCUUAAAUAACUUGAAGGAUACCAGUUCACAGGAUAUUGAGAGCAGAAAAGGGCCUCAAAGAUUUUUGAUUGAAUUGCGUUCAAGUUGAAGUUUUAUGUUGAAGAUUCACUGAAGGUUGAAUGUCUGUUGAAGAUGGAAUUUCUACAUAUUUUUUUUAUUUUUUUAUUUCCUCUUUUGAAUGUUUGUAUCAAUUUGUCAAAAUUGUUAGUAAUAAGAUUAUACUUCUAGUUUCCUUUAUUAA